GUUGCCACUGGGCCUCUUUCAGGGUAUUUGGUUAUGGCCAGCCUUUUUGUUGGGGCAGGCUGGUGUGGCCUCCUCCCCGGUUAUUCGCUCACAAAAUGUCGCAGGUCAUUGUGUACCCGGUGUGGUUGUGCGUGUGUGCUUGGAUGGAAAGGAGUUGGGGUCUCCGGGAUACUGCGAUGCAUCAUUCUUCCGCUGUAACACAGCCCCUGUCCGCUUUCCCAUCGUAUACAGGUGCCACCCUUAUGGCCCCUUGCUGUCAUAUCUUCCCUGUGAGAAGGCCAUGUGCACAACAGGCAGCUGCAACAGGCUGCAACGACGUAGCAACACUCUUCAUCACACCUCCUGGAGUGAGCUUGCAUGGAGCGCUGACAAUUACGAGGCGAGCCGCGGGAAGCAGCGACUAAAUAUGAGAAAGCGUUUGGGCUACCUGGCUCCUCAUGAUAAAUGAGGCAGCACACUGUAGGACAGUCUGGGCACCAUGAGGUGCUGGUGGUGGCCAUUUGGCUUCGCCCCUUCGGCGCUUUUCAUAAUUGUCCUUUGUCUUUACGUGCUCAUGUCCGACCCGUGGGAUACCGUUUGCAUCGCCCGCCCAAGCCGUUGGCCUGAAUGGAAGAUGUCAAAGCUGAUACAGCGCCCCAUUCAACUAAUUCGGA
rnacentral:lncRNA from 1 species